rnacentral:lncRNA from 1 species
CAUGAGGUAUCAAUAUAAACUCCCCAGUUUAAAACAAAAAUAGGUGGAUGCCAAUAGUGGUCUUUAUCUCAACACUAGAAGAAAGGUCCUCAACUGGAAAAAAAUUUACAUUUUUGUAAGAAAAAAACAAUCCUUAUGUUUCUUUAUAAAUCUCACUACAUCUUCAAUAUGGUUUGGCUGUGCCCCCACCCAAAUCUCAACUUGAAUUGUAUCUCCCAGAAUUCCCAUGUGUUGUGAGGGGGACCCAAUGAAGGGUAAUUGAAUCAUGGGGCCGGUCUUUCCCAUGUUAUCCUCAUGAUAGUGGAUAAGUCUCAUGAGAUCUAGUGGAUUUAUCAGGGGUUUCUACUUUUGCUUCCUCCUCAUUCUCUCUUGCCAUGACCAUGUAAGAAGUGCCUUUCACCCUCUGCCUUCAUUGUGAGACCUUUCCCAGCCAUGUGGAACUAUAAAUCCAAUUCAUCCUCUUUCUUUUGUAAAUUGCCCAGUCUCAGGUAUGUCUUUAUCAGCAGUGUGAAAAUGGACUAAUACAGUAAAUUGGUAUGAGAAGUGGGGUGUUGCUGAAAAGAUAAUUGAAAAUGUGGAUGCAGCUUUGGAACUGGGUAAUAGGCAGAGGUUGAAACAGUUUGUAGGGCUCAGAAGAAGACAGGAAAAUGUGGGAAAGUUUGGAACUUCCUAGAGACUUGUUGAAUAUCUUUGCCCAAAAUGGUGAUAAUGAUAUGGACAAUAAAGUCCAGGAUGAAGUGGUCUCAGAUGGAAAUGAGGAACUUGCUGGGAACUAGAGCAAAGGUGACUCUUGUCAUGCUUUAGCAAAGAAAAUGGUGGCAUUUUGCCUCUGCCUUAGAGAUUUGUAGAACUUUGAACUUGUGAGAGAUGACUAAGGGUAUCCGGCAGAAGAAAUUUCUAAGCAGCAAAGCAUUCAAGAGGUGACUUGGGUGCUGUUAAAGGCAUUCCAUUUUACAAGGGAAGCAGAGGAUAAAAGUUUGGAAAAUUUGCAGCCUGACAAUGUGAUAGAAAAGAAAAUCCCAUUUUCUGAAAAGAAAUUUAAGCUGGCUGUAGAACUUUGCAUAAGUAACAAGGAGCUGAAUGUUAAUUUCCAAGACAAUGGGGAAAAUGUCCCUGGGGCAUGUCAGUGGUCUUCGUGGCAGCCCUUCUCAUCACAGGCCUAGAGGUUUAAGAGGAAGAAAUGGUUUCAUCGUCCGGGCCCAGGGUCCCUGUGCUGUGUGCAGCCUAGGGACUUGGUGUCCCGUGUCCUAGCCACUCCAGCUAUGACUAAAAGGGGCCAAGGUACAGCUCAGACCCUGGCUUCAGAGGGUGCAAACCCCAAGCCUUGGCAGGGUCCAUAUGGUGUUGAGCCUGUGGGUGCACAGAAGUCAAGAACUGAUGUUUGGGAACCUCAGACUAGAUUUCAGAACAUGUAUGAAAACACCUGGAUGCCCAGGCAAAAGUUUCCUGAAGGGACUGGGCCCUCAUGCAGAACCUCUGCUAGAGCAGUGCUGAAGGGAAAUGUGGGGUGAGAGACCCCACACAGAGUCCCUACUGGGGCACUGCCUAGUGGAACUGUGAGAAGAGGGCCACCAUCCUCCAGAUCCCAGAAUGGUAGAUUCACCAACAGCUUGCACUGUGUGCCUGGAAAAGCCUCAGACACUCAAUGCCAGCCUAUGAAAGCCACAGGUAGGGUGGCCGUACCUUGCAAAGCCACAGGGAUGGAGCUGCCCAAGACCAUGGGAACCCACCUCUUGCAUCAGUGUGACAUGGAGCCAAAGGAGGUCAUUUUGGAACUUUAAGAUUUGACUGCCCUGCUGGAUUUUGGACUUGCAUGGGGCCUGUAGCCCCUUUCUUUUGGCUAAUUUUUUUUUUUUCAUUUGGAACAGCUGUAUUUACCCAAUGUCUGUACCUCCAUUGUAUCUAGGAAGUAACUAACUUGCCUUUGAUUUUACAGGCUCAUAGCCUGAAGGGACAUGUCUUUUCUCAGAUGAGAUGUUGGACUCUGGACUUUUAAGUUAAUGCUGAAAUGAGUUAAGACUUUGGGGGACUGUUGGAAAGGCAUGAUUGGUUUUGAAAUGAGAGGACAUGAGAUUUGGGAGGGGCCAGGGUGGAAUUAUAUGGUUUGGCUGUGCCUCCACCCAAAUCUCAACUUGAAUUAUAUCUCCCAGAAGUCCCACAGGUUGUGGGAGGGACACAGUGGGAGGUAAUUGAAUCAUGGGGGCUAGUCUUUCCCAUGCUAUUCUCAUGAUAGUGAAUAAGUCUCAUGAGAUGUGAUGGGUCUAUGAGCGGUUUCUGCUUUUGCUUCUUCCUCAUUCUCUCUUGCCACCACCAUAUAAUAAGUGUCUUUAACCCUCUGCCAUGAUUGUGAUAACUUCCCCAGCCAUGUGGAACUGUAAGUCCAAUUAAUCUGUUUUCUUUUGUAAAUAGCCCAGUCUUGGGUAUGUCUUUAUCAGCAGUGUGAAAACAAACUAAUACAAUCUUACUGCCUGACUAGCCUAACUCUUAGUAACCUUAAUUCCUAGUAAAAAACCUAAUAUUGUUUAACAUAAAAUGUGUGAAAGAAAAAUAAAUAUUGGGUCCCCCAAAUUACUAAACUAAAGAGGAAAGUCGAGUUGGGAACUGCUUAGGGCUAACCUGCCUCCCAUUCCAUUCAAGGUCAACCCUCUGCUCACUGAGAUAAAUGCAUAUCUGACUGCCUCCUGAUAUGGUUUGGCUAUGUCCCUACCCAAAUCUCAUUUUGAAUUGUAGCUCUCAUAAUUCCCACAUGUUGUAGGAGGAAUGCAGUGGGAGAUAAUUGUAUCAUGGGGGUGGUUUCCCCCAUAUUUUUCUUGUGGUAAUGAAUAAGUCUCCUGAGAGCUGAUGUUUGUAUAACAGGAAACCCUUUUCACUUGGUUCUCAUUUUCUCCUUUGUCUGCUACCAUGUAAGACAUGUCUUUGGCCUUUUGCCAUGAUUGUGAGGCCUCUCCAGCCACGUGGAACUGUGAGCCCAUUAAAACUCUUUUUAUUUAUAAAUUACCCAGUCUCGGAUAUGUCUGUAUCAGUAGUGUGAGAACGAACUAAUACACCUCCUUUGGAGAGGCUAAUCAGAAUCUCAAAAGAAUGCAACUAUUUGUCUCUUAUCUAACUAUGACCUGUAAGUCCCCACUCCACUUCGAAUCAUCCCACAUUUGCUUUGAGUUGUCCCACCUUUCUGGACCCAACAAAUGUUCAUCUUACAUAUGUUGAUUGAUAUCUCAUGUCUCUCUAAAAUGUGUAAAACCAAGCUGUGCUCUGAUCACCUUGGGCAGAUGUCAUCAGGACCUCCUGAGAUUGUGUCAGGGGUGCGCAUCCUCAACCUUGGCAAAUAAACUUUCUAAAUUAACUGAGACCUGUCUCAGAUAUUCAGGGGUCAUACAUGACUUUAAGAUUUCAAAUUAUUGGAGAAAAUUUUGAGACUAAAGUUACUAAAUUAAUCUUACCAAUGAUUACUACAGUCAUGUGAACUGAAGUCUGUGAGCUAGCUUCUAUUAAUUUGAUAAACACUUUUCUUUUAGCCAGUUAAUUAGAGUUCUCUCAUAUGAUUAAUAGAUGAACAUCAUUUCCACAACACACAUAUAACAUAUUGACAUAGAAGACCCAGACAGAGGCAGAUCUUAUAGAUUUAAAAUAUUUCGUUUGCCUAUUUUCAAACAUGUUCUAGCUCCUGCUACAGACUAUUAAUCUCUUGAUUAUCUGUCCCAUGUCCUAAACAAUUGUUAACUAGGCAACUCUAAAUUUGCAUCUCCAAAGACAUGACUUAGGUUUAAAAAAAGGUAGAAAACGUACAUCUCAAAGGCAUAGACUUAGAUGUAAACAAAAGUAAGGUCUAUUAUGUAAACUUUAAAACAUUGUUUAUUCCCUAGUUAAAAUUUCUAGUGGUUUAGGUGCAGAGACACAGCUGCUUUACGAAAAAAAAAAAAAAAAAAAAAAGAUUUUAUUUAAAGAUGAAAAUUUUCCAUACAAAGAGAUUUAUUUAAAUGAUUUAGUUUUAUAGAUGGUCUUUUCAACUUAGCUUUACUAGAUUACUAACUUUAGGGUGAAGCCCUUUAAGAAACAGGGCCAACAAAGCAUGCAGGUUUUAGGGCUUGCAUAAUGACGUUUUUAUCUAAAUGUUCAAAUAAAUGAGUUGUUCCUCGUAGUGUAGCAGAACGAGCCACAGACAAAACCUCUCAGACACCGAGUUGUAGAAGGAAGGGCUUUAUUCAGCUGGGAGCAUCAGCAAGCUACUGCCUUAAAAUCCGAGCUCCCUGAGUGCACAAUUUAUGUCCCUUUUAAGGGCUCACAACACUAAAGAUUUCACAUGAAAGGGUCGUGAUUGAUUUGAGCAAGCAAGGGGUAGUGACAGGGGCUGCAUGUACUGGUGGUCAGAGUGAAACAGAGCAGAGCAGGGAGUUUCACAAUGUUCUUCCACACAAUGCCUGAAAUCUAUGGGUAACAUUGGGUUCUAAGUCAUGAGUUGAUUUUUAACUACUAUGUUUAGGCGAGGCAGGCCCAGGCCUGGUUUUGGGCCUGGCACUGGGCUGACUGUCUUUGAUUUCACUUCCUUGUUUUUUUUUUUCUUAAAACAGAUACUGAGUAUAAAACAAUAUAAAACAAUAUGAGAGAGUCUCUCUCUUCCCUCAGUAGUAAUGGCCAUUUUCUAUAAAUUUUGCUCAGCCAUCCCUAACAUUGUCAUUCUCAUCUGCCACUACACACACCAAGGUCAAAUUUUGUAACAGUACAAAAUAAUCUCUAGUACCCACCAAAGCCAAAGAGAUCAGGUAAUGCAAUAUAAGAAAGCAGAACUUUAGACCUGAAAGAAAUCUGCCAUGACACUUGAAACUCCACAAAGAAAGCAGAAUACUCUCUCUUUGUUAAGGGGUCUGAUUCAUUAGAAGCCUGUCAGGCCUCUGAGCCCAAGCCAAGCCAUCACAUCCCCUGUGUCUUGCACCUAUACGCCCAGAUGGCCUGAAGUAACUGAAGAAUCACAAAAGAAGUGAAUAUGCCCUGCCCCACCUUAACUGAUGACAUUCCACCACAAAAGAAGUGUAAAUGGCCGGUCCUUGCCUUAAGUGAUGACAUUACCUUGUGAAAGUCCUUUUCCUGGCUCAUCCUGGCUCAAAAAGCACCCCCACUGAGCACCUUGCGACCCCGACUCCUGCCCGCCAGAGAACAAACCCCCUUUGACUGUAAUUUUCCGUUACCUACCCAAAUCCUAUAAAACAGCCCCACCCUUAUCUCCCUUCACUGACUCUCUUUUCGGACUCAGCCCGCCUGCACCCAGGUGAAAUAAACAGCCUUGUUGCUCACACAAAGCCUGUUUGGUGGUCUCUUCACACGGACGCGCAUGAAAUUUGGUCCCAGUCAGGCCUCUGAGCCCAAGCCAAGCCAUCGCAUGCCCUGUGACUUGCACAUGUAUGCCCAGAUGGCCUGAAGUAACUGAAGAAUCACAAAAGAAGUGAAUGUGCCCUGCCCCGCCUUAACUGAUGACAUUCCACCACAAAAGAAGUGAAAAAGGCCGGUCCUUGCCUUAAGUGAUGACAUUACCUUGUGAAAGUCCUUUUCCUGGCUCAUCCUGGCUCAAAAAGCACCCCCACUGAGCACCUUGCGACCCCCACUCCUGCCUGCCAGAGAACAAACCCCCUUUGACUGUAAUUUUCCUUUACCUACCCAAAUCCUAUAAAACAGCCCCACCCUUAUCUCCCUUCACUGACUCUCUUUUCGGACUCAGCCCGCCUGCACCCAGGUGAAAUAAACAGCCUUGUUGCUCACACAAAGCCUGUUUGGUGGUCUCUUCACACGGACAUGCAUUAAAUUUGGUGCCGUGACUCAGAUCAGGGGACCUCCCUUGGGAAAUCAAUCCCCUGUCCUCCUGCUCUUUGCUCCGUGAGAAAGAUCCACCUACGACCUCAGGUCCUCAGACCAACCAGCCCAAGAAACAUCUCACCAAUUUCAAAUCCAGUAAGCCGCCUCUUUUUACUCUCUUCUCCAACCUCCCUCACUAUCCCUCAGCCUCUUUCUCCUUUCAAUCUUGGUGCCACACUUCAAUCUCUCCCUUCUUUUAAUUUCAAUUCCUUUCAUUUUCUGGUAGAGACAAAGGAGACAUGUUUUAUCCCUGGACCCAAAACUCUGGCGCCGGUCACGGACUAGGGAAGGCAGCUUUCCCUUGGUGUUUAAUCAUUUCAGGGACACCUCUCUGAUUAUUUACCCAGGUUUCAGAGGUGUCAGACCACGCAGGGAUGCCUGCCUUGGUCCUUCACCCUUAGUGGCAAGUCCUGCUUUUCUGGGGAAGGGGCAAGUACCCCAACCCCUUCUCUCCGUGUCUCUACCCCUUCUCUGCCUUUCUGGGGGGCAAGAAACCCCCAACCCUUUCUCCUUCACCCUGAGUGGCAAGUCCCACUUUUCUAGAGGAGGGGAAAGUACCCCAACCUCAUAUCUCUGCACCUCAAUCCCUUAUUUCCACACCCCAACCUAUUAUCUCUGUGCCCCAAUCCCUUAUUUCCAUGCCCCAACCUCUUAUCUCUGCACCACAAUCCCUUAUUUCCAUGCCCCGACAUCUUAUGUCUCCACGCCCUGACCUCGUAUCUCUGCACCCCGACCCCUUUCCUGCUUUUCUGGAGGGUAAGAACCCCUGAACCGCUUCCCUCCGUGUCUCUACUCUCCCUUUUCUUUAAACUUGCCUCCUUCACUAUAGGCAACCUUCCACCCUCCAUUCCUCCUUCUUCUCUCUUAGCCUGUGUUCUCAAAAACUUAAAACCUCUUCAACUCACACCUGACCUAAAACCUAAAUGCCUUAUUUUCUUCUGCAAUGCCGCUUGACCCCAAUACAAACUCAACAGUAGUUCCAAAUAGCCGGAAAACAGCACUUUCAAUUUUUCCAUCCUGCAAGAUCUAAAUAAUUCUUGUCGUAAAAUGGGCAAACGGUCUGAGGUGCCUGACGUCCAGGCAUUCUUUUACACAUCGGUCCCUCCCCAGUCUCUGUGCCCAAUGCAACUCAUCCCAAAUCUUCCUUCUUUCCCUCCCACCUGUCCCCUCAGUCCCAACCCCAAGCAUCACUGAGUCUUUCUAAUCUUCCUUUUCUACAGACCCAUCUGACCUCUCCCCUCCUCCCCAGGCUGCUCCUCACCAGGCCGAGCUAGGUCCCAAGUCUUCCUCAGCCUCCGCUCCUCCACCCUAUAAUCCUUUUAUCACCUCCUCUCCUCACACCCAGUCCGGUCCGGCUUACAGUUUCAUUCCGUGACUAGCCCUCCCCCACCUGCCAGCAAUUUACUCUUAAAAAGGUGGCUGGAGCUAAAGGCAUAGUCAAGGUUAUUGCUCCUUUUUCUUUAUCCCAAAUCAGAUAGCGUUUAGGCUCUUUAUCAAUAUAAAAAUCCAGCCCAGUUCAUAACUUGUUUGGCAGCAACCCUGAGACACUUUACAGCCCUAGACCCUAAAAGGUCAAAAGGCCGUCUUAUUCUCAAAAUACAUUUUAUUACCCAAUCUGCUCCUGACAUUAAAUAAAACUCCAAAAAUUAAAUUCCAGCCCUCAAACCCCACAACAGGAUUUAAUUAACCUCGCCUUCAAGGUGUACAAUAAUAGAAAAAAGUUGCAAUUCCUUGCCUCCACUGUGAGACAAACCCCAACCACAUCUCUAGCACACAAGAACUUCCAAAUGCCUGAACCGCAGCGGCCAGGCGUUCCUCCAGUACCGCCUCCCCCAGGAGCUUGCUACAAGUGCCAGAAAUCUGGCCACCAGGCCAAGGAAUGCCUGCAGCCCAGGAUUCCUCCUAAGCCGCGUCCCAUCUGUGCGAGACCCCACUGGAAAUCGGACUGUCCAACUCACCUGGCAGCCACUCCCAGAGCCCCUGGAACUCUGGCCCAAGGCUCUCUGACUCCUUCCCAGAUCUUCUUGGCUUAGCGGCUGAAGACUGACGCUGCCCAGUCGCCUCGGAAGCCCCCCUACAUCAUGGACGCUGAGCUUCAGAUAACUCUCACAGUGGAAGUUUGGUCCAGAGAGCUGCCUUAGACUCCCCAGUAAAUCUAUUCAAACAGCUGCCUCUGUUACCUUGACUCGUCUCAGAUGUCAUCGACCUGAGAUGGCUCCUGGCGCAAGGAAGUUUUAAAACACUUUAGGGAAUAGGAAGAGCAAGAUGACUAAAAAAAUCUCUCCAAUGAUAACCCUACCACAGGAACACCGAAUUGAAUAACUAUACAUGCAAGAAAGAACUUCCAUAAAAACCAAAAAAAAAUAAGCAAUCACAGUACCUGAUUAUAACAUCAUAUCAAGAAAAGAAGCACUGAAGAGGGUAGCCAGGGUAGUCUUGCAUUGCCUACAUCAUCCCUCCUCCAUCCCCCAGCAGUACAAAGAGAGAUAAUGUAUGUGCUUGUGGGAGGGGGAGUCAAGGACUUUGGUAUUUGUAUUGGAAUUCAGUGCUACCUUGUCCCAGUGGAACACAACACAGGGCAGAAUUUAGCCAGUGCCAACAGAGGAGGCAUUUAGACUAACCCCAGUCAAAAGGUAAUCUUUUACUCCAGCAGUGGGAACCUGAGCUCUGGCUAGCUCCAUCAAUGCCUGAUUAAUGUAGCCUGGGGUCCUGGAUAAACUUGAAAGACAGUCAGGCUCAAGGCUUGCAGUCCUUGGGUAAGUCCUGUUGCUUUGCUGAGCUUGGAGACAGUGGUAUUGAGAUACCCACAGCUCAGUGAGACAAAAGCUGGAGUGGCCAAGGGAAUGCUUGCAUCAGCUCUUCUCCAACUCCAGGAAGCACAACUCAUAGCUCCAGGAGAGACUCCUUCCACUUGCAGAAAGGAAAAGGAAGAGUAAAAAGAACUUUGUCCUGUGACUUAGAUACACUUUCAGCCACAGUUUAAAAAUAACAAUAAUAAAAAAAUAAAAGCAUAAAGCAGAGUCCUGAGACCUCCAAUUCCAGACCCUAGGUCUUGGAUGACAUUUCUAAACCCACCCUGGGCUAGAAGGGAACCCACUAACCUGAAGUGAAAAACCAAGCCUUGGCAGGAUGCAACACAUGCUGACUAAAGGGACCUUGAUAGGGCUACAUGAGUGGUAGCCAGGCAGUAGUCACCAUGGGCCUUGGACUAGACCCAUUACCGUGCUGGCUUCAAGUGUGACCCAGCAUAGUCCCAACUUUGGUGGCCCUGGAAGUGUUUGCAUCAUCCCUCCCCCAAUUUCAGUCAGCCCAGCACAGAGAGACAAACACUUGUUUGGGGAAAAGUGAGAGAAGAGGAUGAGAGACUCCCUGGUAUUCCAGGAAAUGCUCCCAGAUCUUAUUCAAGUCCACCCAUGAUAUACCUCUGCAAGUAUGCAAAUAUGGCAUCACUACUGGACUUGUGGCACUCCCUAGUGCAGAUAUAGCUGCAGUAACCAAAGACUUAAGUUGCAACUCUAGAUAUGGGAAAGUCUUCUCGAGAAGUAUAAAUCCAAACAAGAAAGAACUGCAAAGAUUAGAAUACCUAAACUCUUCAGCGCCCAAACAUCAUGAACAUCAACAAGCAUCAAGAAUAUACAAGAAAACAUGACCUGACCAAAUGAACAAAAUAAGGCACCACUGACCAAUCCUGGAGUGAGAGACAUAUGUGACUUUUCAAAAGAGAACUCAAAAUAGGUUUUUUUGAGGAAGCUUAACCAAUUUCACAGUAACACAAAUAAGGAAUUUAGAAUUCUAUUAGAAAACAUUUACAAAGAGAUUGAAAUAAUAGAAAAAUCAAGUAGAUAUUUAGAAGUUUAAAAAUUCAAUUAACAAAAUGAAAACAUGCAUCAGAGUAUUUUAAUAGCAGAAAUUAUUAGGCUGAAAAAAAAUAGUGAACUUGGAGAUCGGCUACUGAAAAUGCACAGUAAGAGAAAGCAAAAGAAAAAAGGAUGAAAAAGAAUGAAGUAAACCAACAAGAUCUAGAAAAAGGCCUCAAAAAAAUCUAAUCAUUACUGGUCUAAAAGAGGAGGUAUAGCAAGAGGUUGGGGUAAAAGUCUAUUCAAAGAAAUAAUAACAGUGAACUUUUGAAACCUAAAGAAAGUUAUCAAUAUUCAAGUUUAAGAAAGUAAUAGAACACCAAGUGGAUUUAACACAUUAAGACUACUUCAAGACAUUCAAUAAUCAAACUCCCAAAACAAAAAGAUAAAGAAAGAAUCCUAAAUGCAGCAAGAAAAAACAAGCAAAUAACAUACAAAGGAGUGUCAGUAUCCAGUGAAAAUACCUUUAAAACAUAAAGGAGGCCAGGCACGGUGGCUCAUGCCUGUAAUCCCAGCACAUUAGCAGGCUGAGGCAGGUGGAUGCACGACGUCAGGAGUUUGAGACCAGCCCGGCCAACAUGGUGAAACCCCGUCUCUAGUAAAAAUACAAAAAUUAUCUGAGUGUUGUGGCGUGCACCUGUAACCCCAGCUGCUUGAGAGGCUGAGGCAAGAGAAUUGCUUGAACCCAGGAGUCAGAGGUUGUAGUGAGCCGAGAUCGGAGAUCGUGCCAUUGCACUCCAGCUGGGGUGACAGAGCAAGACUCUUUCACAAAAAAAAAAAAAAAAAAAAAAAAACACACACACGCACACACAUAAAGGAGAAAUAUUUUCCCAAUGAGCGUUAAGAAAUUUGGAAAACACCAGACCUGUCAUUCAAGAAAUGUAAAAGGAAGUUCUUGAUUCUAAAAAGAAAGAAUGUUAAUGAGCAAUAAGAAAUUAUCUAAAGGUAAAAACUCACAGGUAACAGUGAGUACACAAAGAAUAUUCUGACAAUGUAUUCGCUGUGUGUAAACCAUUCAUAUCUUGAGUAGUAAGACUAAAAGACAAACUUAUUUAAAAUAAUAACUAAAAUACUUUUUAAGGUGUAGAUACUGCAAAGGACAUGAACUCAUUCUUUUUUAUAGCUGCAUAGUAUUCCAUGAUGUAUAUGUACCACAUUUUCUUUAUGCAGUCUAACAUUGAUGGGCAUUUGGGUUGGUUCCAAGUCUUUGUUAUUGUGAAUAGUGCUUCAAUAAACAUGCGUGCAUGUGUCUUUAUAGUUGAAUGAUUUAUAAUCCUUUGGGUAUAUACCCUGUAAUGGCAUUGCUGAGUCAAAUGGUAUUUCUGGUUCUGGAUUCUUGAGUAAUCAACACACUGUCUUCUACAGUGGUUGAAUUAAUUUACACUCCCACCCACAGUAUAAAAGCGGAUACAUUACUAGACAUACACAACUUACCAAAAAAAAAAAAAAAUAGUAAAAGCAUUUCUAUUUCUCCACAUCCUCUCCAGCGUCUGUUGUUUCCUGACUUUUUAGUGAUUGCCAUUCUAACUGGCAUGAGAUGGUAUCUAAUUGUGGUUUGAUUUACAUUUCUCUAAUGACCAGUGAUGAUGAGCUUUUUUUCAUAUGUUUGUUGGCUGCAUAAAUGUCUUCUUUUGAAAAGUGUCUGUUUAUAUCCUUCGCCCACUUUUUGAUAAGGUUGUUUGCUUUUUUCUUGUAAAUUUGUUUAAGUUUCUUGUAAAUUCUGGAUAUUAGCCCUUUAUCAGAUGGAUAGAUUGCAAAAAUUUUCUCCCAUUCUGUAGGCUGCCUGUUCACUCUGAUGAUAGCUCCUUUUGCUGUGCCAAAGCACUUCAUUCUCAGCAAACUAACACAGGAAUAGAAAACCAAACACCACAUGUUCUCACUCAUAAGUGGAAGUUGAACAAUGAGAACAUAUGGGCAGAGGGAGG